rnacentral:lncRNA from 1 species
UAAAUCAUUCCACCAACCAUGGACUUACUAGUGCAGAGACCCGCGCGAUGCAGCGGAUAGAUAAUAAAAAUAAAAUUUAAAAAUUUUAAUAAAUUUUAUAUUUACGAUUUAUUGAUAUAUAAAAAGCUAUAACAUAUUAAGUACAGUUAAUUUGUAUAACUAAAUUUACAUAGUAAGCAGAGGCCCCCGCGCGGACCGACUCAGCGAGCACUUAUAUAGGUCGCGGCUCGGCUUCGCGGGACGAUGCUUCUUGAAGGAGACAAUAUUCUUCAGAGGCUCUUCUUCUUCUUCUUCUUCUUUGUUAACACAAUGAGAGAAAGAGGGAGAUGAGUGCGGAGUAGGAGAUUAGACGAUGAUAUUUUUUUAUGGUGUAUGUAAAAGAGUUACAAAAGAGAGGGAGUAGGAGAUUAAUUAAUGGAGGAGGGGAGUGGUGCAUAUAAAAGAGUUACAAAAGAGAGGGAGUGGGAGAUUAAUGGAGGAGGAAAGUGGUUAAAGUUAUAAAAUAGAAUCUUAAUAUGGUGCAUGUAAUUAAAUAUUGCAUGUAAUUAGAGUAGUGGUGAGGUGAGUUAGGCGUUAAGAAAAGAAGAAGAUGGUUUGAUUUAAAGUUAGAUUUAAAGUUACAUAUAAUUAAAUGUUGUAACUUACAUAUAAUUAGAGGAGUGGGGAGGUGAAGAAUUGAGAGUUGAAAAGAGGAGAAGAUGGUUUGAUUUAAAAUUGGCUAUGAGAAGUAAGAAUAACAUGCCACGUGGCAAAAAGAAUUGUGGCUUCAUAUAGGUUUAUAGAUUUAUAGUUAUUUCAACCUUAUAAAAAAAUUGGAAAAAUAAAAUAAUAAUAAAAAGUUUUAUGGGAAAGGCAAGACCAGGACAAAAGACAUAUUAUUGCAUGCACUUACUCAUUUAUCUAUGAACCGUUACACUGUCGUAUCAGUUUUAGCAACAUAUCAAUAUUCGGUUAACUAAAUUAACUUAUAAAAUUUGAUUAUAAUAGUAUAAAAAAUUUGAGUCAGAAAAUUAUAAUAAAUUAAAAUUUGAGAACCAAAUAU